UACAGAGACUGCAAGCGUUAUUCGGAUUCACUGGGCGUAAAGGGUGCGCAGGCGGCCGUGUGUGUGAGGCGUGAAAGCCCGGGGCUCAACCCCGGAAUUGCACCUCAAACUACAUGGCUAGAGCAUUGGAGAGGGUAGCGGAAUUCACGGUGUAGCAGUGAAAUGCGUAGAUAUCGUGAGGAACACCAGAGGCGAAGGCGGCUACCUGGACAAUUGCUGACACUGAGGCACGAAGGCUAGGGGAGCAAACGGG
rnacentral:rRNA from 1 species